GUGGCGCACGGGUGCGUAACGCGUGGGAAUCUGCCUUUGGGUACGGAAUAACUCAGAGAAAUUUGUGCUAAUACCGUAUAAUGUCUUCGGACCAAAGAUUUAUCGCCCAAGGAUGAGCCCGCGUAGGAUUAGCUAGUUGGUGAGGUAAAAGCUCACCAAGGCGACGAUCCUUAGCUGGUCUGAGAGGAUGAUCAGCCACACUGGGACUGAGACACGGCCCAGACUCCUACGGGAGGCAGCAGUGGGGAAUAUUGGACAAUGGGCGAAAGCCUGAUCCAGCAAUGCCGCGUGAGUGAUGAAGGCCUUAGGGUUGUAAAGCUCUUUUACCCGGGAUGAUAAUGACAGUACCGGGAGAAUAAGCUCCGGCUAACUCCGUGCCAGCAGCCGCGGUAAUACGGAGGGAGCUAGCGUUGUUCGGAAUUACUGGGCGUAAAGCGCGCGUAGGCGGUUUUUUAAGUCAGAGGUGAAAGCCCAGUGCUCAACACUGGAACUGCCUUUGAAACUGGAAAACUUGAAUCUUGGAGAGGUCAGUGGAAUUCCGAGUGUAGAGGUGAAAUUCGUAGAUAUUCGGAAGACACCAGUGGCGAAGGCGACUGACUGGACAGUAUUGACGCUGAGGUGCGA
rnacentral:rRNA from 1 species